ACGAACGCUGGCGGCGUGCCUAAUACAUGCAAGUCGAGCGAAGUUUUUCUGGUGCUUGCACCGGAAAAACUUAGCGGCGAACGGGUGAGUAACACGUAAAGAACCUGCCUCAUAGACUGGGACAACUAUUGGAAACGAUAGCUAAUACCGGAUAACAGCAUUAACUGCAUGGUUGAUGUUUAAAAGUUGGUUUUGCUAAAACUUGGAGUGGCUUUGCCGUGCAUUAGCUAGUUGGUGGGGUAAAGGCCUACCAAGGCGACGAUGCAUAGCCGACCUGAGAGGGUGAUCGGCCACACUGGGACUGAGACACGGCCCAGACUCCUACGGGAGGCAGCAGUAGGGAAUCUUCCGCAAUGGGCGAAAGCCUGACGGAGCAACGCCGCGUGAGUGAAGAAGGAUUUCGGUUCGUAAAGCUCUGUUGUUAGGGAAGAAUGAUUGUGUAGUAACUAUACACAGUAGAGACGGUACCUAACCAGAAAGCCACGGCUAACUACGUG
rnacentral:rRNA from 1 species